rnacentral:rRNA from 1 species
GGAGAGUUUGAUCCUGGCUCAGGACGAACGCUGGCGGCGUGCCUAAUACAUGCAAGUCGAGCGGACAGAUGGGAGCUUGCUCCCUGAUGUUAGCGGCGGACGGGUGAGUAACACGUGGGUAACCUGCCUGUAAGACUGGGAUAACUCCGGGAAACCGGGGCUAAUACCGGAUGCUUGAUUGAACCGCAUGGUUCAAUUAUAAAAGGUGGCUUUUAGCUACCACUUACAGAUGGACCCGCGGCGCAUUAGCUAGUUGGUGAGGUAACGGCUCACCAAGGCRACGAUGCGUAGCCGACCUGAGAGGGUGAUCGGCCACACUGGGACUGAGACACGGCCCAGACUCCUACGGGAGGCAGCAGUAGGGAAUCUUCCGCAAUGGACGAAAGUCUGACGGAGCAACGCCGCGUGAGUGAUGAAGGUUUUCGGAUCGUAAAACUCUGUUGUUAGGGAAGAACAAGUACCGUUCGAAUAGGGCGGUACCUUGACGGUACCUAACCAGAAAGCCACGGCUAACUACGUGCCAGCAGC